rnacentral:rRNA from 1 species
UACCAGCACCCCGAGUGGUCGGGACGUUUUAUUGGGCCUAAAGCAUCCGUAGCCGGUUCUACAAGUCUUCCGUUAAAUCCACCUGCUUAACAGAUGGGCUGCGGAAGAUACUAUGGAGCUAGGAGGCGGGAGAGGCAAGCGGUACUCGAUGGGUAGGGGUAAAAUCCGUUGAUCCAUUGAAGACCGCCAGUGGCGAAGGCGGCUUGCCAGAACGCGCUCGACGGUGAGGGAUGAAAGCUGGGGGAGCAAACCGG